UAAGCCGAAUUUGUUUAGUAAAAAAAGGGAAGCAUCAGAGAAGGAGGUGGGCUUAUGAAUGGGUAUAGAGAGUGGGAGAGGUGGGACACAGCCCCUUCCCCUCCCCCAAAUAGAGAGGGCAAGGAGAGGCAGCACAGCCAGCAGAGCCAGAAGUGAAGAGGUGGGGCCAGAGUCUCUCCACUUCUGGCCACGCUGCUCUCCCCCCAGCCUCCGAAGCAGCUGCAGCAGCUCCGGGGCUGGCAGGCUGCGGCUGCACCGCCCGGCGUGCUGGAGCAGCUCCGGCCAGGCCAGAGACAUCCUCCCUGGCCUGCCCUAGCUUUAGGCCCAGGAAGCAACUUCAGGAGAAGAGAUUACGAUCCACUAAGCAUACUUUUCAAGAAAAUACCUACAGCUAUUUUGUCCCACUAGAAGAUAAACCAAGCAAACAGAAGGCUAUCCAACAGAAAGUUGUUUUUGUUUUGGGGUUGUUUGUUGUUUUUUUGGAUGGGGGUGGGGGGAGGUGCUUCAAGGGAAAAAGAGUGACUUUGCUAACCAGCAUUGGAGAAGGCCAAACUGUGUAACAAAUUGAGCUCUAGUACAGUGGCUCUCAACCUUUCCACACUACUGUACCCUUUUCAGAUUUGUCUUGCGUACCCCCAAGUUUCACAUAAUUUAAAAACUACUUGCUUACAAAAUCAGACAUAAAAAUACAGAAGUGUCACAGCACACUAUUACUGACAAAUUGCUUACUUUCUCAUUUUUACCAUAUAGAUAUAAAAUAAAUCAGUUGAAAUAUAAAAUAUUGUACUUACAUUUAAGAGUGUAUAGCAUAUACAGCAGUAUAAACAAGUCAUUGUCUGUAUCAAAUUUCAAUUUGUACUGACUUCACUGGUACUUUUUAUGUAGCCUGUUGUAAAACUAGGCAAAUAUCUAGAUGAGCUGAUGUACCUCCUGGAAGACUUCUACGUACCUCGGUUGAGAACCACUGCUUUCGUGUGAACAACGUAGGACAGCUUUUUUUUUUUUUUUUUUUUUUAAACAACAACAUCUCUUACUCAAUGAGGUAAUGGCAUUUUAGCUUCUUCUAAGAACAGCCUCCUAACAGGCUUGUAAAAUGCAUCCAAUCCACACACAAAAGGGCUCCAAGCUAUAUGGGUGCAUGCCAAACUCCAUUUAGUUGCCAGUGUGCAUGGAGGUCACUUGUGUAAUAGCACUAAUGGUUCAAACAGUCCUUCCACUAUUCUCCAACCCUGCACAGGUGGCCUUUCAGAAUCUCCCAGAGUCAGUCUGGGACCUGUUCUCAAAACUGUGGGAUAAGCCUUCAGAAGGAAACACAGCUAAGGAUUUGUCUACACAGCAGGGUAAUGUGCACUGUGGGCGUACAAUUUCCACAGCGCACGAACAUGUUGGACAUUAAUUGGGCCACGUAGAUCCUUCUGGUGCACACUGAAGGUUUCCUAAUGCAUUUUAAUGUAAUGCUUUACUACUCCUUUGGGGUUGUGUGUUAUGGGGAUUGGUUUCGCUUUUUGACAUGAAAUUGUGGGAACAGAGUCAAACACAUUCAGCUGCUAAACUGCAGACGUUCCAUUUUAUGCACAAGAGCAGGAGCCUUUUGAGGACAUCAUCAAAAGUAUAUUACUUAUGGAGGAUUAGGGUUCCAUGAAUAACCUCAUCUGCUCCAACAGACAAAUCAGCUUAUGGAGUUUGGUUGUAUCUUUUACUUAAGCAGGAAAAGGACAUUUUGACAUUUUAAGUACUAGUUAAAAAAAAAAAAAAGUGUUUUAUUAGUUGUUCUUUCAAAUAAUCUUACUAUUAAUUGUUUAGAAAUACAAGAGUGCC